AUGCAAAACACACUGAAGAGACUGCAGCCGGCGCGCACCUCCUUGUACAGCUUACGGUGACAUCAUCACAAGCAUGUGUGACAUCACAGGGUUCUAAACCAUCUUCAGAAGCAAGAGACCAUUAUUGGGAGUGGGUGCAUGGAAAAGAAGAGACCCGCGGAGAUCAGAACAUUAAGAUAGGAAAGCAGCAUUCUAGAAAGAUGACGUAGUUCACCAAGUUGAUGGCCAGUCCGACCACUCCAGCAAUAAGAACCAGCAGCGCGUUCUGCGUCUUCUCCGGCUCAACAAACCUCUUGAUGGCUUCGAUAAGGAUACUGAACAUGAGCGCAGUAGCGAAGAUGGCGUUCCCAAAGGCGCCAACCGCAUCCGCUCUUAGGAAGCCAAAUAUCUUUUUGUGAAGAGGGGCCACAACACCACGGUCAAGAUUUUUUUCAAUCUUUUUCUUUUUCACUCCUUUUCGGGUCGGAGCCGAGAUGUCAUGUUUCGUGAUCUGGGCAUGGUGGUGAAGUGAGGAAGACAGCAUGUGUGGUGAAGAGGCGCAGAGGAAAUCAAGACAGCAAUACCUUACCCGAAUUGGGUGCCUAUACUGGUGAAGGUCUGUGAGUAGAGUCUGGGGGAUGCUUGUGUAGCAGCUUUCCAGUUACUCGUGCUCACCCCUAACACCCGGUUACCCGUCCGGGUUUAUC